rnacentral:rRNA from 1 species
AUUGAACGCUGGCGGCAGGCCUAACACAUGCAAGUCGAACGAGUGGCGGACGGGUGAGUAAUGUCUGGGACCCGGCCUGAUGGAUGGGUAUAACUAAUGGAAACUGUAGCUAAUACCGCAUACCAUCGGAUGUGCCCAGAUGGGAUUAGCUAGUAGUUGGGGUAAAGGCUCACCUAGGCGACGAUCCCUUGCUGGUCUGAGAGGAGGACCAGCCACACUGGAACUGAGACACGGUCCAGACGCCUACGGGAGGCAGCAGUGGGGAAUAUGGCACAAUGGGGGCAAUCCUGAUGCAGCCAUGCCGCGUGUAUGAUGAAGGCCUUCGGGUUGUAAAGUACUUUCAGCGGGGAAGCGGUACCCGCAGAAGAAGCACCGGCUAACUCCGUGCCAGCAGCCGCGGUAAUAC